rnacentral:lncRNA from 1 species
UUAGGAACGAACAUAUCUGAUCUUUCUUUCAAAGAGAUGCUCAAUGUCGAAUUAUCUACUUGAGCAGCAACAACUGGAACAAGUUUCCGCACUGCAGUCUGACCAGGAAAAUUUUGCUGACACUAGUACCACUGAUUAUCUAAGCCAUCUCUUCCUCAUUUGCUAAAAAGAAAAAAAAAAGAAAGAAAAAAAAAGAACAGAUUCUAUAAGGGUCUAAGUGCCACUUCCAAACAUCUCUUAAAUACCACCAGGGAUGGACUCUACCAACUUCCCUGGACAGCCCACUUCAAUGCUUGAUCACCUUCUCCAUCAGGAAGUUCUUCCUGAUAUCUAACCUAAACCUCCCCUGGUGCAACAUGAGACUGUUUACUUGUGUCCUAUCACCUGUCACCUGAGAAAAGCGACUAGCACUCUCCUUGGUGCAAUUUCCUUUCAGGUAGUUAUAGAGAGUGAUGUGGUCUCUCCUCAGCUGCCUCCAGACUGAAGAGUCACAGUUCCCUCAGCCUCUCCUUGUAACUCUUGUUUUCUAGUGCCUUCACCAGCUUCAUUGCCUUUCUCUGAAUGUGUUCCAGCAGCUCAGUAUCCUUCUCGCAGUGAGUGGCCCCAAACAGAACGGAGUACUCUCAUUCGGUUGGGUGCAUCCCUUUCCUUUCAUGAACGCUAGCAUAUAAACAACACCCACGAGCACAGGCAGAAGAGUAGCCUAUUUUAGCUAUCAGAAGUUUAUUUUCUGUAAAUGGGUCAGUUCUGCAGUCCCAUGAUUUCCUGCUGUUCCUCAUGCAUCAGAGGACGCCACCUGACCACCCAGUGAGACCUCAGAGGUGCAGAACUCUGACUCGGACUGGAAACUGGGACUUCCAGCAAGAGUGACUGAUUCACUCUUUGAGCAAACACUUCAGUGAGACUGGGGAGUCAAACUUCCAGCUGCUACAGUAAUGGAUGCAGUAUCCGAAGGCACUGUUGAUGAGGGUUUGCUCUUGCAAGAUGGGAGAUGCAUCUAAAUUUAAUUUGCCUGUGACAAAACCAAAAAUUUCCACCUGUGCAAGCAACAUUCACCAAGUUCUCCAGGUCUGCUGCAGAUCAGUUCUUCAAGAUAGAAGAUAAUUUGAAGAAAGAACCACAUCCAAGCCUUUGCUGGCAGGGAAAAAAAAAAAAACAGAGCAACAUAGAGAUAGAUAAAAAGGCAGCAGUGUAUCCAAAAUAGGAGAUGGCAUACUGUUGAAGACAUCUACAGAGAUUGUAAGUUUUCAGGACAGCUUUUCACAAUUCCCAGUUAAGAAGUCAGAGGACAUAAAAAUUGGGGGAACUGGCAAAUAAAGAAGAAGUUAAAACAGAGAGGUCUUGG